rnacentral:rRNA from 1 species
GGGGAAUAUUGCACAAUGGGCGAAAGCCUGAUGCAGCAACGCCGCGUGAGUGAUGAAGGUUUUCGGAUCGUAAAGCUCUGUUGCCAGGGAAGAACGUCUUCUGGAGUAACUGCCAGGAGAGUGACGGUACCUGAGAAGAAAGCCCCGGCUAACUACGUGCCAGCAGCCGCGGUAAUACGUAGGGGGCAAGCGUUGUCCGGAAUUAUUGGGCGUAAAGCGCGCGCAGGCGGCUGUUUAAGUCUGGUGUAUAAGCCUGGGGCUCAACUCCGGGUCGCACUGGAAACUGGACGGCUUGAGUGCAGAAGAGGAGAGUGGAAUUCCACGUGUAGCGGUGAAAUGCGUAGAGAUGUGGAGGAACACCAGUGGCGAAGGCGACUCUCUGGGCUGUAACUGACGCUGAGGCGCGAAAGCGUGGGGAGCAAAC